UCUCAAUGUGGUUUUAAUUUGAAUCUUCCUGAUGGCUAGUGAUGAUGAACAUUUUUUCAUGUGUCUGAUAGCCAUUUGUAUGUCUUCAUUGGAGAAGUGUCUGUUCAUAUCUUCUGCCCAUUUUUUGAUAUGAUUGUCUGUUUUGUGUGUGUUGAGUUUGAGGAGUUCUUUAUAGAUCCUGGAUAUCAACCUUUUGUCUGUAGUGUCAUUUGCAAAUAUCUUCUCCCAUUCUGUGGGGUGCCUCUUUGUUUUGUUGACUGUUUCCUUUGCUGUGCAGAAGCUUUUGAUUUUGAUGAAGUCCCAAAAGUUCAUUUUCGCUUUUGUUUCCUUUGCCUUUGGAGACAUAUCUUGAAAGAAGUUGCUGUGGCUGAUAUCGAAGAGAUUACUGCCUAUGUUCUCCUCUAGAAUUCUGAUGGAUUCCUGUCUCACAUUGAGGUCUUUUAUCCAAUUUGAGUUUAUCUUUGUGUACGGUGUAAGAGAAUGGUCGAGUUUCAUUCUUCUACAUAUAGCUGCCCAGUUUUCCCAGCACCAUUUACUGAAGAGACUGUCUUUUUUCCACUGUAUAUUUUUUCCUGUUUUGUCAAAGAUUAUUUGACCAUAGAGUUGAGGGUCCAUAUGUGGGCUCUCUACUCUGUUCCACUGGUUUAUGCGUCUAUUUUUAUGCCAGUACCAUGCUGUCUUGGUGAUCACAACUUUGUAGUAAAGCUUAAAAUCAGGUAACGUGAUGCCCCCGUUUUAUUUUUGUUUUUCAACAUUUCCUUAGUGAUUCGGGGUCUCUUCUGAUUCCAUACAAAUUUUUGGAUUAUUUGCUCCAGCCCUUUGAAGAAUACUGGUGGAAUUUUGAUUGGAAUAGCAUUAAAAGUAUAGAUUGCUCUAGGCAGUAUAGACAUAGACCAAUAUCUAGUAACAAGAUUGAAGCAGUGAUCAAAAACCUCCCAAAAAACAAGAGCCCAGGACCUGAUGGAUUCCCUCGGGGAAUUCUACCAAACUUUCAAAGAAGAAAUAACACCUAUUCUCCUGAAGCUGUAUCAAAAUAUUGAAGCAGAAGGAAAACUUCCAGACUCUUUCUAUGAAGCCAGCAUUACCUUGAUCCCCAAACCAGGCAAAGACCCUACCAAAAAGAAGAAUUUCAGACCAAUAUCACUGAUGAAUAUGGAUGCUAAGAUUCUCAACAAGAUCCUAGCAAACAAGGGGGCGCCUGGGUGGCUCAGUGAGUUAAAGAUCCUAGCAAAUAGGAUCCAACAGCACAUUAAAAAGAUUAUCCACCUUGACCAGGUGGGAUUCAUCCCUGGGCUACAAGGAUGGUUCAACAUUCGCAAAUCAACCAAUGUGAUAGAAUAAAUUAAUAGGAGAAGAGAGAAGAACCACAUGGUCCUCUCAAUUGAUGCAGAAAAAAGCAUUUGACAAAAUCCAGCAUCGGUUCCUGAUUAAAACACUUCAAAAUAUAGGGACAGAGGGAACAUUCCUGAACUUCAUAAAAUCUAUCAAUGAAAGACCCACAGCAAAUAUCAUCCUCAAUGGGAAAAAGCUUGCAGCCUUUCCAUUGAGAUCAGGAACACAAGGAUGCCCACUCUCACCACUCUUGUUCAACACAGUAUUAGAAGUCCUAGCAAUAGCAAUCAGACAACAAAGAGAAAUAAAAGGUAUCGAAAUUAGCCAUGAAGAAGUCAAACUCUCUCUCUUUGCAGAUGACAUGAUUCUUUAUAUGGAAAACCCAAAAGACUCCACCCCAAACUACUAGAACUCAUACAACAAUUCAGCAACAUGGCAGGAUACAAAGUCAAUGUACAGAAAUCAGUGGCUUUCUUAUACACUAAUAAUGAAAAUACAGAAAGUGAAAUUAGAGAAUCGAUUCCAUUUACUUUAGCACCAAGAACCAUAAGAUACCUGGGAAUAAACCUAACCAAAGAGGUAAAGGAUCUGUCCUCAAGGAACUGCAGAACACUCAUGCAAGAAAUUGAAGAAGACACAAAAAGAUGGAAGACCAUUCCAUGCUCUUGGAUCAGAAGAAUAAACAUUGUUAAAAUGUCUAUACUGCCUAGAGCACAAAUGUUUCUAAAGAACAUAAACUGAAUUCAAGAAUUGAAAUUCUCUAGUUUAUCCUGAAGAGUGGGAUGGAAUGUAAUUCACCUUAUGUAAUGUAUUUCACCUUAACUCACCCUCAUCCUGAAUCCUGACAGGUUAGCCUUUUGGGGAUGAGUGCUUAUUGUGAGGAAGGAUUUCUUUUCUUAGUUGUUAGUUUUCUGUCUUCUAUCAAAAUUCAGGUUCACAUCAGCAAAUGACCUCAGUGUGUGAGUGGUUUCUGAGAGCACUUACCAUUUGGGGUUAUUGUUUUCCAUUGACUCUUGAUUUUGUGUGUUGAUUUUUUUCUUCUUUUCAUUUUUAUGUUUUUAACAAGAUGAUUUUGUUAUUUUAUCAAAGUUUUUAGUGUUUUUCUGAAAAACUAGUCUGAACUACCUAACAAACCAUUAAUAUAAAUAAAAAUUCUAGGGGUGCCUAGGUGGCUCAGUUCAUUAAGCAUCUGCUGACAGCUCAGGUCAUGAACUGAGCCCAGGUAUCAAGCUCCAAAUUGGGCUCCCUGCCCACUAGGGAGUUUACUUCCCCCCUCUCUCUGCCCCUCCUCACCCCUUCUUAUGCUUGCAUUCUCUCUCUCUAAAAUAAAAUAAAAUAAAAUAAUAGAAAUUCCAUUUGAACAUAGUUCUUCAUAAUGUGUUGUAUCUCUGAGAGCGUCCUGAAUACCAUGCUGAUUUCUUUAGACACUCUUUCUCCCUUCCUCAUUAGGUCUAUUAUUGGUUUUAUAGGCAUAUCAAUUAUUUUUCCAUAUAUUUUCAAUAUACUAUUCUGGUCUUUAAUUUCUUUGAUAGUUGAGUUAAAAUAUAUGUAUACAAUAAAAUAUGUAUGUUUGACAUCAUUAUACAGACAUAUGCACACACACACACACAUAUGACAUCACAUCUUUCUAUUGUUGACUCUCCAACUUUCUGUAACAUACAUAUGACAGUACUUCUCUUCUCAGAAAUUAACAUUUCUGAUUCACUUUGUUACUGCCCCACUUCACAUGUCAUAUAGUCUUUGUAGGAUAUAAUAAUUAUUUCUGACUUUCCUCCCAGAUACUUUUCCAUGAAAUAUACCCUGUUCUUCUUCAGUUUACUUUAUUGGGCAUACUAGGGUCCUCCAGAGAAGGUUGUGGAGCUAUAUCUGGGCACUAUUCUUCCUUUUAUUUUUCAGUUCAAAAAUUUUUUUAUUUUACUGAUAGGUUUUCUGCCCAGUAGAAUCCUCUCAGCCUGUAGGUUGAGCAGGCAGGUCCUCAGCAGACUCAAUGUACUGUUGUAACUAAGAUUCAGAAAACCAAAUUCAUUUUUCACUCAAAUCCUCUUAUUUUAUUUUCUUUCCCUGACAAAGCUACUACUGUCAUUUGGAAGAAGAAAUGAAAACCAUCUGUGCUUCCAUGACCCUCAGCUUCUUACCUAAAACCCUCUGACAGGGAUCAUUUUUUAUGACAUUACUAUUCAUUCUUAUAGGAGGAAGAAGAGUAUGUCUGAUGUAUUUAAUGAGCCUUGGCAAGCGUUUGUUCAAGGCUUAGACAUAUGUUCUAAGAAGCCAAUUAUCUUAGUCAGGGCACAUUGUGAUAUUUGGACAGGAAUCCACUGAAAUUAUUUCAAGGAAAAGAGCAAUUAAUUGUAAGAAUACAUGGCAAUAUUAUAGAAUCCAAUUGUUGGAAAUAAAGUCAGGUCUCUUGAGAGAUAGAAAGCAAUCAGGCAGCUAUUUUUUCCAUUUUUCUCUUCCUCUCUCCCUGUCCCUCCCUCCCAGCCUCUCUCUCUCUGUCUCUCUUAUCAUGGUUCCUUGUCUCAUUCCCUCAAUGUAUCUGUUUUGUUCUCCUGGUUCUCCUUCUUAUCUAUCACUGUAUAUCUGGCAAAUAUAUCCACCAACUCAGAAUCUUUGGGGACUUUAUCUCCAAAGUCCAUCACCGUGUAAUUAAUAAUGUUUAUGUUUCUUAGUUAGGAUUCCUGAGACAGAAUUUGAUUAGUUCAGGUUAGGUUAUUUAUCUGCUCAUGGUCCAAUGUACUGUGACAAGGACAGUGAGAUCAUGUGGUCUAAACAUAGCUGCCAAAGCAUGGAUGGGAGACAGAUUCUCUUAGAGGUUUGGUGUGAAUGGAGAUGUGAUGAUUGGCUUAUCAGUUCAUCAACAUACUGUUUUAGAAUGGAGAUUUAUCCACUUCUUAAAUGCACAAAGUAUCUUCUCUGAUUCAAUUAUUUCAGUAUAUGCCAAGUACAAGGAUAGACAUAUUUUGUCUUGUUACUGAGUUUUAGAUUGGUGAGGUUCUUGGUUGUCAUUGCUGAUUAAAUGCUUAAUAGAUGUCAUAUAAAUCAGGUCAAGAGUUAUCUUUUUUAAAAGUAUGCUUUACUAGUCACUAGGUUCCAAACUUUGGCUUUGCUUCCUUUCUAGACUUUCAGAAUUUUUUCUUUCUAGUCUUCCACUGAACUGGAGGAGGGCUGCUUUCCCCCCAAUACCUGUCAGUCCUAAAAUAUAUAACAUCUGUGAAAGUUUUGAAUCAGUAAAAAAUAAUGCCCACUUUGCAGGUUUCCCUCUCUCACAAGAUGAACUACAGACCUUGGUGGUUCUCCCUGGAAGUAGGCAUGUUCCCAUGUCUAAUAGUGGCCCUGUUGUUCUAGUAAGGACUUCUCUGCUAACUAAGGAAUCUGUGCAUAUCUGCAUAUACUUUUUAACCUUUUGGAUGACCUCUUCUGUAACUUGCUUGUGCAUAUCCUAUGCCAAUAUUUUUCUUGUUAAUUUGCUGAAGUUCUUUUUAUGUUCUAGGUAUUAACUCAGUUUUAUAUUCCAUGCUAUCAUUUGUCAGUUAGAGAUAUCUAUUUAACAAGGGGACACUAUUCCUUGUUGACCAGGUAUAUUGCUUUUGAUGUAAACAAACUCACUGUUUUGUUUUAUUUUUAUUUUUUUUGACUUUUAGUUUAUGGUAUUUCUUUAAGAAGUCUUUCCCUGCCCUUAAACCAUUUGCUUACAUAUUCUUUUCAUUCAUGCAUAUAUUUAUCUUUCAUAGUUAGAUAUUUAAUAAUAUCCCUGGACUCUAUCUUUUUAUGUAGGAUUAAUAAGAGAUCCAGUUUUAUUGUUUUCAUGGUGUAUGCCAGUUUUUCUAACACCAUCUAUUAAACAAAUCAUUGUUUUCCCCUGAUUUGUGGUACCAUCUUUAUUAUAUAUUUUGGAAAAUCUUGUAUAUUUGGAAAAUAUUUUAUGGUAGAAAUGAACAAUCCCUCAACAAAUUUGAUGUAACUUACCUAUAAAACUAUCUAAGACUGUGGUUUUUGACUAGUUUACUCAAGUAUUCUGUUUUUGCUGCCCAAUUUGUCCAUUUUUAUCUAUUUUUUCUGGAAAUUUAGUUGUUUCUUUUAAGUUUUUCAAAUUUAUUAGUGUAUGUUGGACUUUGAACAUAUACAUAUAGACAUUAUGAUGCUCUUACUCUUUUUAUAAUCUCUGUGGUAUCUUAAUUCAUCAUUUUAUUAUUUUUUUUUAAACUAAGCGUACUCUCUCUUUUUUCCUUGAUCAGUCUUGUUAGAGGCCUUUUUAAAAAAAAUUUUUUUUCAAAUAACCAAGUAUUUGGUUUUGUUGCUCUUUUUUUUUUUUUCAUUAUUGACUUCUGCUCUGAAACUUAUAUCCCUCUGUAAUAGGCGUUUGAUUGUUAGAACAUUCAGUUCUUCCAGAGAAGACGAGGAAAGUAAAUGAGAGGUAUGAAUAAUAAGUAGAUUAGCAAUCUGUGAGAUACACUAGAAUAAUUUGCAUAGAGCAUUUGUGUGUUUAACAUAGACUAUAAGAUAUGGAGGAACCACAAGACACAAAGUAUAUAUGCUAUACCAAAUAUACCAAGGCAUACAAACCCCGAUAUUAAUGGUAACCUACGUAUGCAUGAGGCUUCUAAGACAUUCAAUAAUCAUGAGAUUAAAUAUACUGCCCACGUGACAUCUAUUCUAGUUCCUGUGUCUUCUGCCCAAGAAAUACAGAUAAAACCCAUAGCUGUUAAUUAUGGUCAUUGGCAAGCUGCGACUGUAGCCAUGAGUCCUUCAUCUCCCUGGUAGAGCAAGCACAGUGUGUUGACUCUAGGCAUCCUCUUCUGUGCCCCUUUGCUCAAACCUCAACUCUAUGCUUUCGGCAGGGAAUAUGUGGCCUAGAGAGGAAACAUGAUAGUAUGGUUAGUGUAUCCUGCUAUACUCUACCAUAAGAUCUUCUUCUAUAAGCUUCUCACUGUUUUCAGUUGAUUAAAUAAACUGCAUGAAUUGAGCAUCUUAACUUGGUCUGUUAAGUCUUUGCAGGCCAUGACUUCUGAGUUAGCCUGCCUGACAGUGUACUUGGAGAAUACCAUCACCUCAGGGGAAUUUCUCAUGUAACUUUUUCCUUCUUAUGUUUUUCUGCUUUCAUUCUGUUGCUCACCAUCUUAUUUCCUCUCGGAUAAAUAUAUCUAAAGUGUCCUCCCACUACCUGAUGAGAUCCACAGCACUGGUUUGAACUAUGAGUUUGCACAUAGGCCAGAAACAUACAUGGAACCUUAAGCUCACCUUCCUUAUUUGUAUCAAAUGAUGACCAGUAUACUGAUCUCCCAUCCCUUUGCUUAUGGCAAGAGAUGGCUUCACUUAGAUUGGAAAAAAAAAAAAGUUUAAGUGUCCUUCAAGGAACUGCUUUAGUAUGCCCUGUAAAUUUAGAGAUGAGGUGCUAAAUAGCAUUAAUGGUUAAAAACUAGUAUGACAGUAAUGUAAGACAGUCACCAUCCUAUAAUUUUAAAUAUUCUUUUAAAAAUAAGUGUUAUAUUAAAAUAUUUAUUUUCAACAUAAGGCUGCUGAACCUAUGAUUUUGAUAUUUAUUUCUAAUCCUAUUGCUUUAUGGUCAGAGAUCUUCUGAAUGGUAUUAGUCAUUUGGAAUUAAUAGAGGUUUUCUUUAUGAUCUUAAAAAUGGCAUUUUUGUACAUUCUGUGUAUAUGCAAAAGGAAUGUGUAUUUCCUGUUUGUUGAACAUAGCUAAUGUAUUUUCAAUAGCUUGAGUUUGGUAAUUAUAUUUUCCAGAUGUUUUUGUAACACUUCUAACAUUUUAUUUGCUUCAUCUGUCAGAUUCUGAGGCAGGUAUGUUAAAAUCAUCAACUACAAUUGGGGCACCUGGGUGGUUCAGUCAGUUAAGCUUUGGAUUCUUGAUUUUAGUUUGGGUCAUGAUCUCAGGAUCACAGUCUCAGAGUCAUGAGAUCAAGCCCCAUGGGGAUCCCUGUGCUCAUUUGAGAAUCUGCUUGAGAUUCUCCUUCCUUUUCCCUCUGCCCCUUUCCCCCCAAAUAAAUAAACAAAACUUAAAAAAAAAAAAACCAACAUUAUAGUUGAUAAAUUACGUAUUUUUUCCUGGAGUUCUUUCAGUAUUUAUGUGUUUUAAAGCUGUAUUUUAGAAUGUGUAUAAAUUUAUGAUGGUUAUAAUCUUGUUCAAUUAUUUCUUUUACUGGCACAUGAUUUCCCUUAUGAUUUUUUUGUCUUAAACUCUAUUUAGUCAGACAUUAAGAAACAACCCCAUAUUUCUUUGGGUUCACAUUUCCCUAACAAAACUUUUCCCACCGAUUUUCAACCUUUUAUUUUCUUUUUGUCUUAUGGUCUUAUGUGUAUCUCUUGUUGCCUGUAUGUUGUGGGGCUUUAUUUUUUUUUAAUUUGAGAUUCUCUGUUUUAAUUGGUGACCACAACUGCUGUAUUAUAAUUAAUGAUAUAUUAAGACUGUUUCAUACAUGUUAAGACCCAUAUUCAUGUUUAUUUACCCAUAUUGCUUUCUUUCUUCUUCUUCUUUUUUAUUUUUUAAAGAUUUUAUUUAUUUGACAGACAGAGAUCACAAGUAGGCAGAGGGCAGAGAGAGAGGGGGAGACAGGCUCCCCGCCGAGCAGAGAGCCUGAUGCGGGGCUUGAUCCCAGGACUCUGAGAUUUUAGCGCUGUUUGUCAUAAGACUUUCACUUACUGAUUUUCAAGAAGGGAGGCCUGCACAGAGAGGACAAUAAAGACCACGAACAUGAACUCACCCAUGGAACUCAGCGUCAGGUGAUAAAGAGAGGCAGAGUGGAGAAGGAAAAGGUUCGAGGAACUGUAGCACCAGCUCCACCUCCAGAAAUUGACCCUGGAGAAACUACAGAAAUGGAGGGCACACAUGCCGAAGGCAGAGGCUUUAACCCACUGACCCAGGGUUCUUAUGCUGCUGUGAGAGUAUUCUGUGGACCCUGGGACCAGCAGUGAGGCCUGUGGCUGUAGGGGAGGUCCCAAGCCCUGAGAAGUUUCUCCAGGGUCAAUUUCUGGAGGUGGAGCCAGCAGCCCUAACUACUUUGCCCCAUUGGCUGGUGCUACAGUUCCUCGAACCUUUUCCUUCUCCACUCUGCCUCUCUUCAUCACCUGACGCUGAGUUCCAUGGAUCACCUCUGAAAGGCAGUGGCAUCGACAUAGAUGAGAUCUGGGAUUUGAAGGGUUUCAAUGGAUCUCCCCGUUUGGCACAAAAUCAAAUGAUGGAAAUGAAGGCUCAGUGAUCACGAUGCUGCGCUAGCUUCACAUUCAAGCGGAUGACUCUUGCUCAAUGAUUUCCAAAGCAAUGACCUCGGCACCCCCUUCGCCCAGGUUGUCGGCGGCUUCGUUCCUCGGCUCCUGGUGGCAGAUGUAAACCGGGAUGUCCCCGGCUUCGGCCGCGGCGGCGGCAGCGGCGGCGGCGGCGGCGGCGGCGGCAUUGGCCGCGGAGCGGCGGGGGUUCCUUCGCCCCCAGCGCUGAUCCCACUGGGUUUUAAACUGCGCCCAUUGGCGCUUCACGGUGGUUUGGACCUGAAAGAGAAAAGGGAACCUUGUUUUGGUAUAAUUGUCGGAAACGACCCAAGCCAAGCUUAUGGCCACAGUUCGUGGAGCUUAUCAGAGGCCAAAGGAGGCUGAGUUGUAAUUCUGAUCCGAAGGACCCUGCAGUACACACGCUCUGGUUGGGGAAUAUAUACCAUCGUGGGAGAAGAAUCUUUAAGUCAGAGAAACGAGUUGCUUGCCUAAGCUACCACGGGCAAGGUUGUUUGCUCUUUUUGAGCAAAAGUCUCUUCUUUAGCUCUCCUGUCCAAUGAAUGAAAAUUGCCUUGGUUUUAUUAUACCCAUUAUGGUAUAGGUGUCCUAUCAGAGGAAAAGAUUUUUGAAAAGUUUUUAUCUGCUACCACCUCUGAUAAUGCAGAAAUUUUUAUCUAAACCUAAACACAUUACUGUUUACAUAUACAUAUACAUAUACAUAUACAUAUACAUAUACAUAUACAUAUGCAUGUACCACAGCACAGCCCGGGGUUUCAUUAUAAGGGCUUCAUACUGUGGAUUUUCCUUUCUCCAGCAUGGCUUGAGAUGGGACACCCCGGAUAAAACUCUGGUUAAUGGAGUACGAAGCUUUUAAGAAUAAAAUUUCAAUCUCUUCCUACAAAAAAACUUCUAAUAUGUAAACAAACUUACCAAACUUGCUUUACAAAUAUGAUAAACUGUAUAGUAGAGAAGGAAAAGAUGCUAAAGUCAGGAAGUUCUAAAUACAAAAAAAUAACCACCGCGGAAAAGUAGUAACACUGCUUGUCUAGCUCUGCUUUCUUCAGAACUGAGUUCAGUUUAGUCUUUAAGUUCAUCUUCCCUGUCAUCUCCUAACUUCUGGCUUUUCUCUAUAGCUGAGCAAGACUAAAAUAGAGAUUAUUGCUGCAGUAUCUAUUUUACAUUUCUGAUUUUCUAUGGCUCAGUACAGGAGAUAUGCUUUUAUACAAAAUAUUUGCAUCGAUUUAUUAAUAUAUCUUUCGUUAUCUUGCUACCGAACUUGAAUGUAAGACCUAACCAUUCUGGGGCACAGGAGGGGGAAUCCGGCAACAGUAUGACCUGAGAUAAAGCAUGUAAUGAGUUAAUUGUGAAGAGCCAAAUUUGUCUGAAUCUAAAAGAAGAUAUAAAUGAUAGUACAACAUACUAAUGUUAUAAACCGAUAUGCAUAAUAGAAGGCUGAAUAAUUUCUGUGGCAAAUACAUUUUCUGUGUAUCAUAGCAGAACAGUCUUUCCAAAUAAUUAUUAGUAUUUGUCAUAUCCUUUUAAAUAUUUUACUCAGAAAAAGGCAAAACAGUCAAAUGAUUCAUCACAGACAAGAGGGUAUGAAACUUGUCACUGAGGAGAGGUUCUUCUUCAUAUCGCAGAGCAGCCAUCAAGUUCAAGAUGACAAAUGGUAGACGAAUUUGGUAAUCCAAUCAUUCGGAAUUAUUGUGGCAACAAACUGUUUUUGUGUUUUUUGGAGGUGAUGAGUGUGUGAGUGUACUCUCUAAUGUGCAUCUAUCUAAUUUUAUUUAAAAGAGACAAACACCAAAACUUUAAGUGCCAUGGUCAAGCUGUGCACCUUGUAUCCGAACCUUGUGUUGACAAAAGACGUGCUGAGGGUCAUGGACAGCAUGAAAAGUUGGAGCUGUCGCUGUUAUUUUCUGAGGGUUUACCACAUGCCAUUUUCCAGGCUCUUGUUUAGUAUGAACUUAUUUAAUCCUGCUGAUUUAAUGGCUACUGUUCCCUUCACUUUACAUAUGGGGGCUGAGGUUAUGUAACGUGUCCAGGGUCAGAACCGCUGGAAUGUGGUGGAACCACCAUACCAGGGGAAGCUCGUGGCUCCUGACCAUGUGCUUGGCCACAAUACACACUGUAGAUAGCUGACCAUCAAGUUGUGAACUGAACUGAAAAUAGAAUUUGUUUCCUGUGGUCAUUGCUUAGGCAGGAUGAGAGCACUAAGUGUUGACACACCGACCCCAAAGACUGUGCUCUUUGGGUUUGGGUCCCAGCUUAUUGCCUGCAUAGGCUUUUUUGUCUUUUGGUUUUUUGUUUUUUUCUUUCUUAGAUUUUUCUCCUUUGUAAAAAGGAGAUCAGGACAUGAAUUCAGUUAUGAGUAAGAUUUACUGAGGUUAUUUGAAUCACCUCAUACGAUGUUGGUGCGUAGCAGCAGUAAUUUCCUACUUUUUCUCCCAUUCUCACCCCUUGCUAACCCCACCUCCCACCACCUCCAAGGUUCUGCCAGUCAAUGUGGCUGGAUUUGAGAGUCAGGUAUCUCCCUUUUGAUAGUCUGACACCUUCAGGCUCCUCUCCAGCCUAGUUCUUUAUUAGGGCUAUUUACUGGUUGAAAAUUAAUUCAUAUAAGUGUUUUGCUUCCUUUGCUUUCCUAAGCACAUUAGUGCAAGAGGUACAGAUGGAAGGUGUAACACAGCUGGAAGGGACAAGAUGGAUUGGAGGAAUAGAAGAGGCAGAGAUGAGGAAGAAUGAAACAGUAAAGAAGAAAAGCAAUUAGGACAGUUUAUCUGCAUUUAGUGCCGAAUAACUGAGCAUUGACUAGUUUGUUCCCCCUCUGUGACAUUUCUGUCUAGAGGUCAAGACACAAAGAGAAGAUAAAGUCUGAAGGAUUGGGUCCAUUUACUCUCUCUAAUUGAAACAAUGUGCUCUUGCUCACACCGGCUUCCUGCACUCGGCUGCUGCCAUUCAAAACAGCAGUAGGGGGACAUACUCCGAAUGGGCUGAACUGGACUGGGGUUACUCUCUUCAGAAGGAAUUCAGUCCAUACCCAGAGUGACCUGAAAUCUUGGUUUGAUGGUUUUGUCCUUUAGCUAUUUACCCCAAAUGCCUCUAUUUCAGUCACCCGGCCAGCACAGAUAGAAGGGAUUCAGGUUCUGUAAGAGCACUUAGAUACCAGGCACAGAGCUGCUAUCAGGGGCAGGAGUGGAAAAUUCCUGUCAUUCUACUGCUUUUGUCUGAGUUGGCUCAUCUCUCUGCCAGAGUGGUUUUAAGCCACUUAUGGCCUUGACCUGAAUUCUCCAAAAUUAACAAACUGCUUGUCUCUCUCCACCAGCUAUAUCGUUUCUUCCCAUCAGGUCUCUCUGCUCAUGCUGCUCCCUCUGACCGGAAUGGCCCUCUCCCACCCUCACUGGUGCCCAAACUUGUUUUUCAGGACUCAACUCUGUUUCUCUAGGAAACUUUUCUUGAUCCUUUGAUACAGACAGAGUCAGGAGUCUCUCUUCCGUGCUCUUGUUGCAGUAAUCUAUACUCAUUAUUGCUCUUACUGCGCUAUAACAUUGUGACUUGCUGUGUCUCUCUCUCCUCCUGUACAAGAAAAUUCUGAAAAGCAGGAACCAUGUCUUGUCCAUUUUUGUAUUCCCAGAACAUGUCAUGCUGUUGGGCAUACAGCAGUUCUUCAACAAAUACUUGUGGACUAUCAACAUCCAUUCUAGAAUGAGUUCAUAACUCUUUCAGCCAAGAAAAUGAUCACCAAUGACCAUAAUUAGUGCACUGAUAUCCGGUGGUACCAGGGUGGGGAGCUGAAAGCAUCUAGGACAAACCUUAUGGAAAAAUUGAAAUGUUCUUUCAUGGGUUUUGAUAUGAGACCUAGAAUCAUUGCUUUUUGAGAACUUGAAUUCCUUCCAGAGGUAAACCGUAAGCUACUGGGUGUUGGAUCACCUACAACUGUUGCUAGGUCUUCUCUCAUGCCAUGGUGUGUGUUUUGGGGAACUGCUCUUGAGCUCCAGUGAGUUGCUACUUUUGGAAAUGAGCAGAAGCAGGCACUUGUCGGCAACCUGGCAACCAGCUGGGCAGGGAAGGAAGAGUGUCAUUGGGUCACAUCACACCACCUUUCUGUUCUUUUUCCACCUAUAGCAUCAUUUCACUGGGUCUCAUUCGAUGCCAUGAAAGAAAGGACUGAACUUUGGGUCAAGAAACUCACUCUGCCCACAUUAGCCUUAUAAUCUUGGGUAGGAUAGUUAACCUCUUUGAGACUCCUUUCUUCAAUACAAUUCUUCUACCUCACCUUGCUGUUGGAAGGAUUAAAUUGUGACAGUAUAUAUCAAAGUGGCAUCUAAGCUUUAAAGUACUACACAGGGAGGCUACUGUUAUUAUUGCUAUUACUGUGCUGUUAUUAUGGCAGGAUGGUGACCUCAAGUCUUCAGACUAAAAUGAAACUCUUCUGUCAUAUUCUUUUUUGGAGGGUGGUAGUGCUAAGAAAAUACAAAGACCUCUCAAUGACACACAUAGUUGCUGAUCUCAUACAUUCUACACUAGGUCUCUACAGAGUGCUCCAUGGCCCAGGCUUGCUACUUCCUGGAUUUCUUUUGGAUUUCUAUACCAUUUAUUUUUCUGUUGGGACUAGCCAAAAGAUGGCAUGGUUUUAUUUGGGUCAUACUAUCUAUUAAAUGUAGGUCCUUAAUGCUUUAAAUGCCAGGUUUGUAAUCUAGGAACCAUCAAAUGCCCUGUUGAGGAAUUAGGAAAUAUACUGCUUCAGCAUAUUUUUGGAGAAGCGAUGUCCCCAGACAAAGGGAAUUGACAGUUUCCGUGGAUUCAGCAUCUCUCAAAUACCAACACUGUCUUUAUAGAUAAAAAUCACACGGUUAUUUAGAGGUAUCCAAAGCAGACAGUUUAAGUUUAGAGUGAGUUUGUAAAAGUGCCCAGAGGACGAAAAAAAAAAAAAAAAAAGGCUUUGUUUCUCCUCACAUUUUAAGAAAAUAAUCCCCAUUGGCAUAUCCAUGCGUAUUAAUGAAGUACCCUGCCCAGCAUGAGGCCAAAGGGUUUGAGGCCUAUUUUAUGUUUUUAAUAUUAUUAUUAUUACAGAAAUGUUCAUAGCCUUCUAUAAUUGCAUUCCCGAAUUAUAAUCUAUUCUUUUGUGUGGAGAUGGCAAUCUGCUUCAAUUUGUAAACCACACAUAUAAGAAUAGGCCCUUAGCAGGAUGUAAAAGACACUUGAAUAAUUAUAGUUUAAUAGGGCAAUUAUCUCCUACAAUACCACAGGUUGAGCUUGAUGCUGCUUUGAUCACUAAAAUAAGGGCAUUGAAUCUGUUUGGGGGAAAAAAAAAACCAGGGAGACUUUUCAUUGCUCUUGAAAAGCAUCAGAAAUGUUAGGAGUUACCAAUGUGAUAAAUAUAACAUACAAAGUUUUGAAUUAUAUAGAUUCAUCACUCCUUAUAAAAGCAAUUAACACAGAUCACUUUACAUUUUCCCUAAUUAUAUCAAUUUCUUUAUUAACCACUUUAAAAAAUAGAGCCCUGAUCUGAUGGUUUGAAGUCAUAAGUAUUACACCUGGCUCUAGUAUUAACCAUCUAUAUGAGGUUGGUAUAUUUGGGCCUCAGUUUCUACAUCUGUGAAAAAGAAAAUCAGGUCAGAAUCUUCACAGUUGGACUUGAAUGCUUUCAUCUUUGGCCUUAGUUUUCCUCAAGUUCAGCAUAAGCACCAGAAGUUAUAUACUGUUGAGUGGAAGGUGGCGUUUAUUCCUAGGAGUUUUGAUCCAUUGGAUAGAAAGAUUUUUCAAACCUGCUCCCUCAUACCUUCACUUGCUGAUUCCACAACUCAACAGGCCUGCUGCAAUCGAAAUUUAAGAUUAAAAAUCAUGAACUUUAAAAACAUUUUAGAUCCACUUGGAGGUAUGCUUUAAAUGCUUUUAUAUGACUUUCUGAGGCGGAACCCCUAUUAAAUCCUGUUAAUUAGAUACUGAGGGAUGCUUCUGAAUAUUAUUCAUAAAGUUGUCACUGAUACUUUUUUCACCUUUUGGAGCAUUAUCUUUACUGGUCUUUUUCUUACAGAAUGUACAUGCCCUACAGUUUGAGAUAAAUUGGGUACUUCAUGAUCAUAAGACCAGGCUUUCUAAUUCCCAUUCACUAUGUACUCUUCUAGUCUGUAGAAGCUUUCUUGUUCUAGAAGACACCAACAAAUAAAUAUCAUCUAUGAUAAGGUUAAUAUUUUUGAAAAUAUUUAACUAUUAUAUUUCCUAAAUAACAUUACCCUGCAACUCCCUAGUUCAUUAAGUCAUGGCCAUUCAUUGCUUGAAGAACAAAUUAGAUUUUGCCUAGAGUGGGUUCUCAAAGUGUGUUCUCUGAUCAGCAGCAUCAGCUUCACCUGGAAACUUGUCAGAAAUGCAAAUUCCUCAGGCCUCAUCCCUGUCCUCCUGAAUAGGAAACUCUUCUGAGGGGUCAAGCACUCUAUGUUUUAACAAACUUUCCCUGGCAAUUCUGAUGCACACGAAAGUUUGAGAAUACUGCUCUAGAACAAAGAAAUCACUGUUUAGCUUUGAGUCUCAAAGCUGACUUUCUUGAGUCUCUAGAAGGACAACAGCUUUGAAAACCAGGUUUUAUUGAGUGAGAAAAAGAAUUUCUAAAUAGAAAAGCUUAUCUUUGCAUUAUGAAGUGAAAACCAUGCUACCCUGGAAAAAGAAUUUUACUAAAAGCCAUAGUAUAGAGGACACACAAGAUACAGUGUAGGGAGAGUCCCCUGAGGAUAGGAAGGAGCCGUGGUUAGUACAAAGCCCUUCCAGUCCUGAGAGGGAGAGAGAUAUACAGAGACACAAAUGACCUUGCAUUUCCCCUUCAUGGUGGGAAUACCUGGGGAAAUGGGGAGAAGACACUCAACAGUAUAUAACUUCUGGUGCUUAUGCUUAUACCCCAGUAUAGCAAGUCUUUCUCUUUGAUUCUGAGAGCACAGUCUAGAAAUUGAUAGCCAUGUAAAGAAGUCCCACACUUGGCUUGGUACCAUGUCCAAGCUGGUGCCUGAGCGGUGGAGCGGGAAUGGCUAUGACAUGUGCUAAAGACAGACUCGUAGGCUCUUCACAGUGUGAAGAAAGGAGGCUGACCCUCUGGGGUCCUUGAGUGGGUGGAAGAGAGAACUGGUGAGGCAGAACAAGGCUGGGGCCUGGUCAAGGAAGCGACACACUAGAAGGAUCUCUAGGCUCCUCGGGAGUGAGGGAGCCACCCUGAGUGUCAGCAGGGCCUACCAACUGUACCUUUGGAUGAAGGCUUUGGAACCAAAUAUUUUCUAGAAAGAGACUGCCAUCUCUUAGAAGCUGGUGGGAUGGGCUAUCUAAAGCAAGACAAGUUACAACAACAACAAAAAAGCAGUGGUAGUUUCCAUCCACUCCAAUCUGUUACUGUUAAAUUGAGAUCUUUCUGAUCAUGCUACUUUGAUCGACAAACGAUUUUACCCACAGUGCAUGGACAAUAGCAAGACCCAUGGAAAGGGAGAACAACCACUGUCUUGUUGGUGCUCUCUCUAUUUUUAAGAUGUAACUCAGAACCGCUGGGCAUCUUUGUAGCUGUCAUCAUCUCUUUGAGGUCCCUUACAUACUUAAUAAUACAUGGUCAACAUCCAUACUCUUAGAAGACUUGUAGGAAAUACGUGAUCCAUAAGCAUGCCCUCGUGGGUGCUUCCUGAUUCCUACUCCUGUCAUUCUCCAAAUUCCUUCCCUGCUUCUAGUCUAUCUGUCGGUAUUUGACCAAUUUCCAUAAUGGGAAUCACUGACAACAUGCAGGUAAGAAAUGAAAAUGAAAACCUCCUUCUGCACUGUCGAGCUGCCAUCUCAGCCCCCUAGAUCUCUGCUAAAACUCAACGUGCUCCCAGCAAAGCCCACACACUUCUCUGGCAGUGGCAGUGGCAGCUUCGAGACCCACCCGCAGGGCUGCAUGCCCUGCCGGGUUGAUGGGGGUAUAGACAGCACCUUCACAGAAGGCCCAGUGGAGAGCUGCAAAUCUAAAAUUCAUGGGGCUGUGAUGUUACAUUUGGCACAGUACAAAAUUUCUAUCUUAUUAGAAAUGUCACUCUGGUAGCUUCCCCAGUAAAAGAAUCCUAAUUAAAAUGGAGAUGGUUUCUUGGCUUUGAAAAGCAGAGAUAACAUACUCAAAUGAAAUAGAAAUGAUCAAUUGUUAGGAGGACUUCUUGUCUUGCUCUCUAUGCCUGAUGCUUCAAAGACAGCGUCAUGGUUAAAACAGAGGAAGGGGGGUGAAGUAUUUUUGCAAAUGCCUACAAUCCUCUCAUGUUUUCAAGGUAUGCCCCUUCUGAACCUGAUUUUUAUGUUAGCCCUAUAGAGAUAUUGCUUUAGGUGGAAAAUUUAUUUGUAUGGCACCUGAAAUAACUUAUAAGACAGAUUAUGCAUUCAUAGAAAUUGAUAUAAAGAGAGGAUGUCCUAAACCAUAUUUAUUUAUUUAUUUGGUUUUUGCUAUUCUUAAAACAAACAAAAUAACCAAAGAGACACUAACAGCUGACAGCAGAAGGGUGACUUUUCAUUUCUACCCCAGGCCUUCAGUCUAGCCCCUAGUGAUAGUGAAUGGAUGAUCUAUUUCUGCUGAAUGAAGGAAUGAGCUUAUGGGUGAAUGGAUGAAGGGAGGAGUAAAAUGUACCAAUUAAAAAGUAGAAUGAGAGCGACAAAAAUCUUAUAAAGCAGUGACAAGGUUGGAGAUAAAUAAUACGUCAUAGAACAGCAAAAUCUUAUAGGUGCUCCCUGAUAACCGAAGAAAUAAAGAGUAGAGAAUUAAAGAUCAAUUGAUUCUGGUUAGAAACCUUUCUAAUUACUAAUAGGAAAAAUCUUAACAUUUGUUGAUCUCUUCACCAAAUGGUAUUUUUCUUGGUAUAGAAUUAUUCUAAAUAGGGAUCAACGUAAAAUGAUAAAAAAUAAUUGCACAUUACAAUUCAUGUGGUAUAUAACUAGAAAAAGUAUAUGAGCAAAGCUCCAGGGAGGAAUCAUAGACAUAUUAUAGUGUAGUGGAAUAUUUAGUUCAUUUAAUUAAGAAUCAGGAAAUCUAGGUUCUAGUCCUGGUUGUGGAACUAUGACUGUGACAUUGUACCAGUCACACGUUCUUCCUAGAGUGUAGGCUUCUCACCUGAAAAAUGAGGGAGCUUACAAACUGUGUUUCUUGAAAGCCUGGGUCUUCUUUGGUACAAAUUUAAGCAGCUCCACUUUUUUUUUUUUUUUUUUUUUUAAGAUUCCAUCUAUUCACUUGACAGACAGAGAUCACAAGCAGGCGAGAGGCAGGCAGAGAGAGAGAGAGAGAGAGGAGGAAGCAGGCUCCCCGCAGAGCAGAGAGCCCGAUGCGGGGCUCGAUCCCAGGACCCUGGGAUCACCACCAGAGCUGAAGGCAGAGGCUUUAACCCACUGAGCCACCCAGGCGCCCCAAAGCAGCUCCACUUUUAAAAAAGAAAUUCCAGUGCAAUUAACAUAUAUGUUGCAAAUGGCAAGAUUUUACUGUUUUAUGUCUGAGUAAUAUUCCAUUGUAUGUAUGUACCAGAACUACUUUAUCCUUUCAUCCUUCAAGGGACACUUGGGCUGCUUCCAUUUCUUGGCUAUUAUAAAUAAUGCUGCUAUAAACAUAGGGGUACAUAUAUCUCUUUGAAUAAGUGUUUUCAUAUUCUUUGGGUAAAUAGCCAGUAGUGGAAUUACCAGAUCAUAUGAUAGUUCUAUUUCUAAUUUUCCAAGGAGCCUCCAUGCUUUUUCCCACAGUGGCUGCACCAGUUUGCAUUAGGGAGUAAGCAGCUUCAUGUUUCUACUUCACAGUUCGGGUCCCAGGCAAGAAGAUUUCAUUGCAAGAAAGGGCACUCUGGCUAACCUCCCCCUGACAACACUGGCCAUGUGGAUCUCUAGAUUUCACUGAGCUAAAUAUUCAGAUAAUAAAUUACUUAUAUGAGGCUCCUUUUGGGGUCUUAACUUCAGGAGGACUGCCACCAUCUCGAAGACGUGAUGUGACACUGGCACCAAGCGACAGGACAAGAAAGUGGUGAACCAGUUCACACUGGCUGGAUCCUGGCUCAGCCCCAGGGAGGAGCUGAGUCUUCCAAAAGGAUGGCAGCAUGACUUCUCUUUCUAGGAGAAUCCAGAAUAGCUCUCACUCUUGCUGCUCCAGGGACUGACCAGCUUAAGAUGCCAUCCAAUGAAAUCAGAACAUAGCUGCCCAUGUGGAUCAUAUCUACAAUUCUCCCAUAGAAACACAGAUAAGAUUCAUGUGAAGUAGUGGAAAAAUACAUGAUCCUGUAUGUCACGAAACCCCGUGAGGUCAACUGCAGAAGUGAGAGCAAAUGAAAUGUGACCAGAGGCCCUUUGGGAACUGUAAAAUGCUGGCUUUGUAUCAACGAGUGAUGGUAUUCUGUGAAAUGCACGCUUACCUCGUUGUUGCAGAAGCAGUAGAUCACGGCGACAAAGAAUCCCUUAAAAGAGAAGGAAAAAUAGAACUGAGAUUAUUUUGGGGUGCAUUACCUUGUUUAGGAAUCAAUAUUAAUAGACAGCCUGAAGAGGAGCAUUUCACUAUUGCAUUAGCAAGUCAAGGCUCGAUGAAAGACAAUUACUAGCACACUCAUAUUCAGUGCUUCACUAUAAGAAUAUUCUAGUUUAAGGGGGUACAGCUUCCACCUUGGGGUCCACUGGAGACAUUUCCUACUGACAGGAACAUCUGCCUCAUGGCAUUGGUGACUGUGUUUUCAUGGCAUUGGUGACUGUGAUGCUAGCUAUCAGGUUGGGAAACUGAUUGGCACUGGUUAUGUUGAUCUUCAAAACUCCCCCUCAUAAAGGCAAAACAAAUGUGCUUUCCCUCAAACUAUUGGAUAGGGGAAGGAAAGGUUGAAAGGACGGUGGGAAUAGAAACUCUGUCCUCAGUAUUCAGUGCUGUGCAGUGGGUCAGUCCCUGGACAAGUAUUUGUCCUCAGAAAGAUGUGUUCUCAAAGCUCAUCCUCCCUGUUUUCCUUCCUCGGUUUUGAGAUUCAAAAAUAAAAGGGGGAAACAGGUAAUGAGAAAAAGAGAAGCUGUAUCCCUUCCAGGUUAUAUAUAUUUGCAAAGGUCCUUCUGAUCACAGAUGGACCUUAGAAGUGCUUCUGCCUACAUCAACUAGCUGAGCAAACAGCUGAUCAAUACACCACCGGCUUCUUUACCUGGAAGUGAAUCAGAGAGUGCAUCAGGUAAUCGUAGAUCUUCCCAAGCAUCUUGUUGGAAGGCCUCCAGGGAAAGACGACAAACUGGAUUCCGAGCAGGGGCACCAGGAUCAGAGUGGCCCUCACGGCCUUCAGGUACAUGUGCGAUUCCGCCUCCUGGGUCUCCCUCAGCUUGCUCACGAGCACCCGGACGAUGUUGAGCAGGAAGAAGAAAUUGACCUGCAAAGAUGUGACAUUAUGAGCAAAUCAUCCAGGUCCGGCCGACUUAAGGAUGACUGCUUUCCUUGACUCUUGUUUAUCUCAGCCUGGGAGCAGAUGUCACAGGACAGGAGAGACGGCGUGUGAGUUGGUGUAAUAAGCUUGGCAUUACCGGGUGCAGCCGUAAAACCAAAGACCCUCUCCAGACCUGAGUUAACAUUUCCCUUUUUUUAAAAAAAUUUUUGUCCAAAUGAGAAAACAUUUUUUUUUCUGUAUAAGUAAAUAAAUUAAGUUUAAUUCCAAUGAGGGUAGUUUAUUCAUCACUUUGAUUUUUAUGAUUUUUCCGAAGGAGAGUCAUAACCAACACUUUCAGAUCUUGUUUUCUGGUCAUUUCAUUAUGGAGAUUUUCCCCUUAGGCAGGACUACUUCCCAGAAAGUGAAAUGAGGACCGAAGAAUUCAUCUCUGAAGUUUAUGUAGUAGAGAUAGCUCUCCCAGCCCUCUUUUCUUUCUAAUAACAUUUUUUAAAGAACAUGACUUCAUUCAGAUGUAAGGCACAUUAAGUAAAUUAGAGACUUUAAGUUUACAUUCAAGAAGUUUAGAGAAAUGUAGGUAUCUGGGGUAUCUGGGUAGCAACCCCUCCAAACAAGACAAGAGCAUUUUCAUUACCCUAGAAAGUUCUCUCCCGCUUCAACAACCCUUCCACCUCAAUCGACCACUAAUUUCUAUUACCACAGAAGUGGAGUGUUAUACAGUAUGUACUCUUUCAUGUCUGGCUUCUUUGGUUUGACAUAUUAUCUGUGAGAUUCAUUCACGUUGUGUAUAUUGGCAUUUCAUUCCUUUUUAUUGCUGAGUAGUAGUACUCCAUUACAUGGAUAAUACACAUAAUUUGUUUAUUCAUUCUAUUGUUGAUGGAAAUUGGCAAGGUUUCACAAUUUGACUAUUACAAAUUAACAUGCUAUGGUUAUUUGUAUACAAGUCUUUGUGUGGACAUACGUUUUUGUGUCUCUUGAGUAAGUACCCAGGAGUAGAACUGCCUGUUGAUAUGAUAAAUGUAUAUUUAACUUUAUAAGAAACUGGCAAACUGUCUUCCAAAGAAGUGGCUUCAUUUUACAUUCCCUCUAGCUCUAGCUGAGCAUUCCAGCUGUUCUCUACCCUUGCCAAGUCUUGGUAUGGUCACACUUUUUAAUAUUAGCCAUUGCAGUGGGUCUCAAACUACUUUUGGCUAUGGAGAUUAAUUUUGAAACCAAAGUUGUUUUUAAAAUUUAAUUGAUGAUUUAUUUUUAAAUGAUUAGUGUGGUUUUUCUACCCAGAAAAGAAAUAAGCAUAGUUGCCCCCAAAACUCAAGAAAGAAGAGAGACCUUUAGUAAUAAUUGAACUCUUAGGAGGUAUUGAAAUAUUCAAGAUCCACAUCCAUGGGUCUUUGUCAGCACAGUUGGGCUGGCAUGUCCAUCACUGCUCUGAAGUAGGGCAAAAGAAAUUGAGUGUGCACUGGAGAGACUGGGGCAGUGGGAAGUCAGGUUGGAUGAUGACUUGGUUUGAUCAGUUUCUAAUGGAUACUUCUUCAGUACAUGAGCAGAACAUGGUUUAUGACUCGGACUGUUUUCGUUUUUCUUUUUCCAAGGGAAAAGCACUGUUUUUGAGGCUAGUGGGAAAAAUAGUGUCUAAAUAUUAAAUGGGCUGGUUGUCAUGCUCACUACCAUAGAGUAAACCUUAGGUAAAAACAAAGAGCUUGGAAAUACAUGCAGAUGGUCAUGUUCUCCUCAACCCCAACUUUUUACUAGUCAUGUAAUUUGGGAAUACAUUUACUUGAAUCUUUGGGUCUAGUUUUCUUAAUGAGUACCAAUAGUCCUGAUGCAUCUACUUCGAAGGGCUGCUGUUAGGAAGAGCCUGGCAAUGUACAUGCAAGCAAUGUACAAUCCUGAAGUGUAUGCUCAGUGGUAGUUCCCACGAUGGCUCACGGACCAGAGAUGAAAUGAGAGAUGGUUUUGUUUGGCAGAGACCAGGGAAAAAGGUGCAGAGGGACUCUGAUUUUUUACUUUCUUUCUCAGUAACAUCUUCUUACCAUUCUUCAGUCCCUUGAUCUUUGCCUUUAAUGAGGAGCAGGUAGGUAUAGUGUUGUUUCAAGAAAACUGUAUUUUUGUGAUGGCGGGUAUAGAAAUGAACUUAAUGCAACCCUUCCCCAACAGUGUUAAAUAAAAAUUGUUUUUUUCAUUUAAAGAUCCUCAAAUCAAAUUGUUACAGAUGAUCUCAUUACAGAUCAUCAUUACCUUAGCCUAAUUUUGAAGUCCUGAGCCAUAUGGGACACAGGGCCAUCUUUACAGAAAUCUUCACAAAGAGAUAACACUUAAUAAUGGAUUUAAAAAGCAAUUCUCAACAACAACAACAAGAUAAAUAAAAGCAAUUCUCACCACCAGUGCGGCCAUGACGGGACCGUGGAUGAUAUAAAGCAGAUGGGUUUCUACACUCAGCCAGCAGCUGAAAACAAGGAGGGAGGGAAUACAUGAAUAUAAAUGCAUUUUACUUACAAAUACGUUCACUUAAAAACCACCCAAAUACGUACUUGUCAUUGAAGUACAGAGCCCGAGUAAUCGCAUGGAUAGUGGUUGGCACCAGCGGGAACCCUAAAAAUGUGAAAAAGCAGAAAUCACACCUGAUUUCUUGAUCUUAAGCUACAACAGUGAUUGCGUGGAAAAUGGUAGUUUAUCUUCAAAAAAGGUGGCAAAUUUUAAUAUCUCUGUCAAGAUACUUCCCUGAUGUUUUUACACAAACUAUUUUUGGUCAAUCCCGAUAAUUAUUCUCUUGGUUAGAACAUCACGUGCUUUCAGAGUUUUGUGAAGAGCAUCCAGGUAAUUAAAAGUCUUUAACAAAUAUUCCAGGAUGGUAGGUACCUUGUUACUCUCACUGUGACCAUUACACCAUCGUUAUGUCUGUGGUGAUGACUGUUAGUUGAGUCCACAAAGCUCUUCACUGCAUGUGAACUGGACUCUUUAAUAGACAGGAGUUAGGUCACCAUGGAGGGCAAUGACCUGGGAUAGCUUACGGAGACAAUAGCCUGAUUGCUCUGAAAUCCUUGUUGAUGUUCAUAAUAGUUCUUGUAGGCUUUUCUUUUUCCUGUCUGUUUAUAUCACAUGUAUCGAUUCCAUUGUCUUUCCAUUAGAAUAUUUCAGGGCACGACUGCCUUCCCUGCCCUCUGUAAGUUCUGCCUGUGGAACCUCUAUGAAGGUAACUUGGAGUCUACCUCCCUCACUGAACUCUAAGUUCUAGUAAAAAGCAACUUUGAAUUUAUAAACAGAAUGAUAGGGGUCAUUAUCGGCAAUGCAUUCUGUCAGGGUACCUCUUUUUAAAAUCAAUUUUCAUUCUAUAAGUGUCAUCUAGAAUACAGUUGUGGUUCUUGCAAAAUAGUUUUUUCCCCCCCUCAGAUGUACCCCAGCCCAACAGAAUAUUGCUUGAUUUGGUUGAGACAUUUGUAGAAAGAGCUUUUAGAAUUAUCAUCAGAUUGAGAAAUGUAUCUCAGAAGUGAGUUAGACCUCCACAUUUUUAUUUUCUGUGAAUUCUAUGCAAAAUGACAUUGCCUCAGAAUAUUGAGUUUUCACCUGAGAACAACCUCAGCUUCUUAACCCGUGAAGCAUAUAAUUCAAUAGGGCCAUUGAUUAAAUGCUUGGCCUGAGAGAAUUUUGAGUUAGACUCUUUACACAAAACAUAAUUGUGUUUUAUUCACGGCAGUUCUAACAUAUCAUUUCCCCACUUGGGUUUUAGAAACAGAAAUUCAUUUUCUCGAUAUAUUCUGAAACAUACGUUUUAGAAUUAGCAGAAGAAGCAUAUGGAGUUCUCCCUCCCACCUCAUCAUUUUGUAGAGAGCAGGAUGUGUUCCUUAAUGUACAGAGGAGUGCGGACUCCAACUCUGCUCAUUCCUAGUGCUCUUUGCCUUGUUUGAGGCAGUUUGUUUCCCCUUCCUCUUCCUCUUAUCCCCCAGACCCCAAGAACCCUAAAGGCCCUUCCUGCCACCGAAGAUGUAAAAAUAAUCCCUUCUCCCUAGGAAUUUUUUUUUUUAAGGGGGACUAGAUAAAUUCUGUGUGUUCAUUGUAAGAGUCCACAGAGGGAAUUUCCUUCUUUAAUUUAUAAGAAGAGGAGAAAGAGCAAGGCGAAGAAUCAAUCAGGAGAGGGCUGUAAAACAAAUAAUUUAUUUCUGAGAACUAAACCUCACUAUUUGAAGUUGCUUCGAUUUGAGAGAAAUCAACUAGUAAGUGGCCCUGUGCAGAUCUGUAAGGGAGUAACUACCAAAAAAAAAAAAAAAAAAAAAAAGAGAAAAAAAAAGAAAAGCAUUCUUUCACUUUCUAUUGGGGAGAAUUACAUCACUGGAUACUUUCCUCCAAGAGGGUGAUGUUCCUUAUGUCUUUUAUAAUUUUUAGGAUCUGUUCCAGAUCCUGGAGUGGGUAAUACUAUUCACAGCUGACAAGAAUGGAUGGGACAUACGUCACCUGUAAACAAAGUCACAUCUUCGGGCACAGCUUUCUUGCACCAAAUCUUCGGCUGUCCCACUCUCACCUCCUUGCAAAGCACAGGUUUUACCUUAUUUCAUGGCACCAUAACAUUUAGGAACUAUCAUACUUUUUAGGUGUGAAAAUAAUUUCAAAAGGACAAUAAAAAUAUUACCCAGUAGAAAUUUCUUCCUCUCUGCUCCACUAGAAAUUCUUUAAAGAUUCUGUGACACUAUUUUUCUUGCGGCAUUAUUUCACUUGUGCCUUUAGCUGUUUUCCUCCCACCCAAAGACAAUGCUUGCCCAAAUUCUAGGACAGAGCUAUUGCUUCAAAAGACAUCAUCACGGUUGUCUCUCAAUUUUGUUCUCAAACACGGUAAAGGGUUUGGUGGAAUUUUGGAGCAUGUGCACGCAUGCGCAUGUGUGCAAGGGUAGAGUAAGAUAGAUUGAGGUCUGACCUGCUAAAAAUAAUUACAUUUUAGAACUAUAUUGGUUGACUAUUUGUCUUUCCAAACAUCGGUCUAGGGGGAAGUGCAAAUUCUCAUUCUUUUAAAUUUAUGAUUCCAUGCUUACCUUACUGAGUGAGUGUAAUGUUCCUUAGGAUCCCACUUCAAUCAUUCUGAUAAAGUUUUAAGUAUUUUCUGAUUAAGGAAGGUUCAGGGAUCCCAUAAAUAUUUUUACUUAUUUUUAUUACCUUCUUUUUGAUACAGCUGAACAGCUUGUUCCUUUUUCGCUUUGAAUUGUUUAUGCAUGUUAAGCAGAUGUCUUCAUCGAGCUGUCUAUGAUGAUGUCAAAAGUUUCAUAACUAAUUCACAAUGCAUCAGAAUGGAAAGAGUAAUUAUAAAUUGUUCCUUCCAGGGUGCCCUCAUCUCUGUUGAAUGUCACAGGCAAGAAUAAAUUUAUAGCCUUUUUCCUCCAUGGAAAAAUUUCUGAGUAUGGUAGAUAGAUGUUUUUGAAGAGUCAAAACCAGUAUAAGAAAUACGCCAUAGAUUUUAUUUUAAAGGAAAAAAGUAAAAUACAUCACACAGAAAUGGUGUGUGUGUGUGUGUGUGUGUGUGUGUGGCAGGCCAGGGGUGGGAUGUUAUUUUCAGGUCUUCAGUUGGAAGGCAUCUGACCAGCAACAAUCAUUACUAUUGUAAUGAUCAGAAUUACUAUUGGGGGGCAUUGAACUGUAUUCAGUUGAUUCCUAGUAUGAUUAGCUUUGGAGGACAAGAAAUCUCUGACAAGGUACAUAUGAGGCUGAGAAGGUCAGUUAAAGGUAAGAUCAGCCUCUUUGUGGAAGGUUGCGACUAAAAGAAAAAAAUAAUGAAAGGCCAUUUUGUUCUUUGUAUUCUAUGUAUUUUGAGGUCAAGGAAGAGCAAGAGAACCUAGCACUGGACGUGAGACUGGCAGGACAGUCACAAGCCUGCUUUCUAAUCUCGCUGGAUGGUUAAGGCGUUAGGUUGGAAGAUUAAAGUCGUCAAACAGCAACCAUACUCCCAAGAAACCUAGAGUCUUGAAGGCCCAGAGAAGUGCUGCCAAAGGUAAGCUUUCUAUACUGGAAAUCUUUGGCAAGGGCCAA